ACGACCGUACCGCAAACCGACACUGGUGCGCGAGAUGAGUAUUCUAAGGCGCUUGAGAGAACUCAGGAGAAGGAACUCGGCAAAUUGACACCGUAACUUCGGAAGAAGGUGUGCCUUUAGUAGGUGAAGUCCCUCGCGGAUGGAGCCCAAUGAGGUUGCAAAAAAUCGGUGGCUGCGACUGUUUAUUAAAAACACAGCACUCUGCAAACACGAAAGUGGACGUAUAGGGUGUGACGCCUGCCCGGUGCUGGAAGAUUAAAUGAUGGGGUGCAAGCUCUUGAUUGAAGUCCCAGUAAACGGCGGCCGUAACAAUAACGGUCCUAAGGUAGCGAAAUUCCUUGUCGGGUAAGUUCCGACCUGCACGAAUGGCGUAACGAUGGCCACACUGUCUCCUCCUGAGACUCAGCGAAGUUGAAAUGUUUGUGAUGAUGCAAUCUCCCCGCGGAAAGACGGAAAGACCCCAUGAACCUUUACUGUAGCUUUGUAUUGGACUUUGAACAGAUCUGUGUAGGAUAGGUGGGAGGCUUUGAAGCAGGGUCGCUAGAUCUUGUGGAGCCAACGUUGAAAUACCACCCUGGUGUGUUUGAGGUUCUAACCUAGGCCCGUAAUCCGGGUUGGGGACAGUGCAUGGUAGGCAGUUUGACUGGGGCGGUCUCCUCCCAAAGUGUAACGGAGGAGUUCGAAGGUACGCUAGUUACGGUCGGACAUCGUGACGAUAGUGCAAUGGCAUAAGCGUGCUUAACUGCGAGACUGACAAGUCGAGCAGAUGCGAAAGCAGGACAUAGUGAUCCGGUGGUUCUGUAUGGAAGGGCCAUCGCUCAACGGAUAAAAGGUACUCUGGGGAUAACAGGCUGAUACCGCCCAAGAGUUCAUAUCGACGGCGGUGUUUGGCACCUCGAUGUCGGCUCAUCUCAUCCUGGGGCUGUAGCCGGUCCCAAGGGUAUGGCUGUUCGCCAUUUAAAGAGGUACGUGAGCUGGGUUUAAAACGUCGUGAGACAGUUUGGUCCCUAUCUUCCGUGGGCGCUGCAGAUUUGAGGAAGCCUGCUCCUAGUACGAGAGGGCCGGAGUGGACGCACCUCUGGUGUAUCGGUUGUCACGCCAGUGGCAUUGCCGAGUAGCUAUGUGCGGAAGAGAUAACCGCUGAAAGCAUCUAAGCGGGAAACUCGUUUCAAGAUGAGAUCUGCCGGGGCCUUGAGCCCCCUGAAGAGUCGUUCAAGACCAGGACGUUGAUAGGUCGGGUGUGGAAGCGCAGUAAUGCGUUAAGCUAACCGAUACUAAUUGCUCGUGCGGCUUGACCA
rnacentral:rRNA from 1 species